GUAAAAAUAAAGUUAAAAAGAAAAAAGUGGUGGGACCACCCAUUUCAUAUUUUUAAUGGCAUAAGGCCAUUUGGUAGGCCUCAUUUUCUCAUUCCCUCACUCCCUCACGCUGCUUUCUCUUCCCCUUCCCUUUAUUUCAUUUUUCUUUUUUCUUUCCAAACAAAUCUUUAAACUUAGAUUUCUCUCUCAAUUUUUGGUAUUUUUGGGAGCCGUCUGCGGCAAAACGGAGAGCGCGUCGAGAUCUUCAAUUUGAUCAAAGCAAAGGUGGUUUUGGUGCACCCUAAGAAUUUUGAAUUCUAGGAUUUGGAUUCGGCAAAUUGGGAGUUUUUGCAAUUUUUGGGGACACGGUAGGAAGGUGGCGAACGACGCUCCUCCACAGGGUUCGAUGGGAAAGGACGGUAGUGCCCUUAGUUGAUCUCGGGUUCGGGUAAGGACCCGGUUAGCGAUUCGGACCCUCGGGUUCGGGUCAUUACAAAUUUGGUAUCAGAGCAAUGGUUCGAAUACCAUUGGACGACGGGUAGAGGCCUACCCAGGGUUGCAUGGGAAGUUUAAUUGCAUGUUUACGUGCUUAUGUGUUAUGGUGUUUAACUGUUUAAGAAGCAUGCUUCCUCGUUUCCUAUUUUAAUGUUUAAUGUUUAAUGUUUGACAUAUAUACCUAUUUGCUAAGUGCUUAUGUGUUUAAAUGCCAAUAUAUAUAAAUGAAGUGUACAUGUUAU